rnacentral:rRNA from 1 species
UACGAAGGGGGCUAGCGUUGCUCGAAAUCACUGGGCGUAAAGGGUGCGUAGGCGGGUCUUUAAGUCAGGGGUGAAAUCCUGGAGCUCAACUCCAGAACUGCCUUUGAUACUGAAGAUCUUGAGUUCGGGAGAGGUGAGUGGAACUGCGAGUGUAGAGGUGAAAUUCGUAGAUAUUCGCAAGAACACCAGUGGCGAAGGCGGCUCACUGGCCCGAUACUGACGCUGAGGCACGAAAGCGUGGGGAGCAAACAGG